GUGAGGAGGGACUUCUGCAAAUGCACAGAGCUGCUGUGACUCUCACCCAGUGUUUAUUUCCAGGUUUUUCUACUGAGAAGAGCACUGCAAACUGGAGAACCAUAGACUGAGUGCCGUGAAGAAGUCACAAGUUUCUGCUUUAACGGGGUUUCUGACUCUGACCUCUAUUUCUGACUCUGGAUAUCUGAUGCUUGGCCUUCUGGGAAAUCUAAAGCCUAACUAAGAGAAAUGGACUUUAAUCUGCUCUGGUCCAGCCAUCCUGAGGACUCAGUUUGUUCGAGGAUAUUAACAAGUGGAAUUCCUCUCUUACCAUGGAAGAGUCCAUCUCUAAUACGAUGGUGCUAACCCAGGUUCUUUCCACUCCCCAGAUGGUGUCUGUGGGCUUGGCUCUCACCUUCAAGCUUCACCGCCCCCGGAUGAUGGACGGAAUUUGCUCUGGGCAUCUGAGCCCAAGCGGAGGUGCAGGUGCCAAACUCACUGUGCACUUUCCAUCUACUCUUUGCUACAGUUCAAUAAAGCAACCCCCCAACACCUGCCCAGUGAGCUGCCUACGUUGAGAUUAUGAUUCAUCCCAGAGACAAGGGACAACACGGGAAGCUGCUCUCAGAAGACAAGAUCCCUGUGCACGCAGCUGACACGGCCUCCUGGCUGACUCUGGUGUCAUGAUGGAGUCCUCAGAAUGAGAGGGCAGCUGGGGAAAGGACACCGAGUGGAAGUGCAGCCACACCCAAACUCAGCAGUAAGUCUAUCCCCACUGUGGAUUUGACCUCCAUCCCUCUUCUUUAGUGGCACUUUUGCAGCCUUUCGUGGUUUGGAAUUUUACACUGCAGUCGGCAGCCUCUUAUAUGAUCCCACUGAAGUCAGUCAUUGGUUGGCUAAUCAGAAAGGAUUUCCUCUGGCCACCAGAGACCGGAGCUACAGGCAUGGAGACACUAAAUAGCCACUUCAUAAAGUGAUGCUGAAUACAAACGAGUGUUGCAGAAGUUCUCUGCAUGUUUGAAAUAUUUUAAAUACAACUAUGAAGAACCCAGAGCUACUUCAAGUUUCUGAUCCCACUUGUACGUGGAGCACUGGUUUUCUGGUGAGCUGCGAAUUAGCAUGAAGAAAAUAUAGGCUUGCACAAACAUUCCUGUGUUCAAACACAGAGGAGCAUGAUUAUAUUGAAUACCCAUUCAAACUGGCCAAAACUACAAAUCCUAUCGGCCAUGAGGUGGCCGCAUGGGGCAGGAGCAGAUGGAGCAGUAGUUCGGCAUGGCUUUCCUCAGUCCUCAGAACCCCUGGAGGCUUCUCAAGGCUGUCUGUGUCACUCUCUCUGCAAAGAACCAAGCUCUGGGUCUGCAAGGUUAUAUACUUCUUCAGAAGAGAGCACUGUGCCACUGUCCCAGGAGAACUGUACCAUCAAGUCUUUCAAGCCCUUUCACAGCCUUUUAAGCUGAAGAAUGGCAGUAUUUGAAAAAAUCAGCACUCAUGAUCUCCUUUGUCUUCAAGACCAUAUUCUACAAAACCGACUUCUUUUUGAAGACCUAGGAGGAUGCAGUGAUGUGGAUGACGCUGAGAGGCGGGAGGAAGACGGUGACCAUUGCCACCAUGCAUGAGCACCAUCUGGAUGGGACUGGGCUCCUCUGUAGACCACAGCCCUUCAGUCACCCCUCAUCACAGAUCCAGACCGGACAGAUGUCUAAUACAAACAGCCACCUGGAAGCAUAACUCUGCCCAAACCCAGCUGAGCUUUCGUUCUCUGGUAUUCUGAUAACCAGGGGCUCUUCUCCUGAUGUUGACUUCUGAAUUCCCUGACUUACGAUUAUUCUUAGGGGCUGUCAGCCAAGGCUCCAGUGACUUCCAAAAACCGGUAUCAUUGGAUGCAUUCAAGUCUUUCCUGAGCUCCCCGUUUCACUGUUCAUUGCUUUUCCAAUUCUUUCUCCAAACCACAUUUAUUUCCAGGCACUCUCCUCCAUUCAUUCUUAAAUCUCAGUAUUUAAACUCCUGAGUGUAUUUACAUUGAAAUGGAGUGCUGAAGCCUUUUGGUAUUUGAAAAAGCAUUUGAGGUUUUUAAUGAACUUUUCAAAGAUUCUUGAAUUGAUGCUUUGCCAAGAAUAGGACUACUCGAAACAACAGGAGGUUUGGGUUCAAUUUCAAACUACCCGGGCACCGAUCCAGGGCAAACUGGAGCCUUCAAAAAUCUGCAGGUGUUCCCUUGCCCCUUAGCCUCACACUCAAGGGCUUUGUUGAUGGGACUCUGCCUCCCUUGUCAAGCUCAUCUCUAACCCUACAGAAGACCCCUGGGCCUGCCUGCUCUUCCCCAGAUGACAUUUCCAUGAUCUGUGUCUUGCCUGUUACUUUCCCCUUUGCCUGGGACUUCUUUCCCAUUUUUGUCAACUGCCAUUCCAAAAUCCAUGGGCUAAGUUUAAAAUCAACCUCAUCGUGAAACUUUAUUUUGCCUGUGGAAGAUUUGGAAAAAGUACAUACAUUAGUUCCCCAAAUGCUUGAUUUGAUUUUUUACAUGAUCCCUCAGAAGCCAUAGAACUAAGGAAACUGUAAUACAAUUCUAUCUUCAUAAGAGAAAGCUUGCGACUUCUUUCACACAUGUCUUCUGUGUAAACAAAGUCAUGUUUAUGAAGCUCUUGAGGUGUAAUCGGUGUAUCUGUAACUCUGGAAGUUAGGAAACUUAUCUACUCUCUCUACCCCAGAAGUCGUAUCUGAGUCACAGGUGUAGUAAUAAGCAUUCCUGAAGAUACUGUGAGGGGGAUUAAUUGAGGAAAUCUGUGUAGAAUCUUAGAAUACCAUUUAGCAAAAUUUCAUUAUAUUUAUUAACAAAUAUUCUCUUCUCUUCUCCAUGCUUAUUUGAAUUAGCUCUGUAUAGAAGUUCAGGCACCUGUGCAGUUUCUUUGCCUUCUCCAAACAUUAUCUAUUACUUAAUAACAGGGACCAUAUUCUCACAAGGCCAAAGACCGUGGUACAUAUAAACUUUUAAUACAUUAUAUACAUAAUGCAAUCAAAUGAAACCUAAGAAAAACAUGUUUUGGUCUAUUUUUUAUGGCUCCAUGCUUGCUAUUGUCUCAAAACUUCAACAAAUAAAACCACUAAAGAAUGUGAACAACAAAGUUUGACACUGAAAUGAAAAUUUAUACAGGAGAAUACUACUCGGCCAUAAAAAAGAAGGAAAUCUCAUCUUUUGGGACAGCAUUGAUGGACCUGGAGAGUAUUAUGCUAAGCCAGCCAGAGAAAGA